CCAGAGAGAGAAGAAGAAUUUUGGUAUGAAUCAAGGAGAAAGGAGCUUGACUUGAAGAUUUUGGACUUUCUAAAGCUUGGUUUUCAAGAUUUCUUCAAGAUUGAGAUUUGAGCUUGGUUUGAGAUUGGGUGUUGGAUAAGAAGGAAUUAAGCAAGGGUUUGACGAAUUGGCUAAGGUAAGUGCAUUAUUGUGAAUUUGUGUAUUGAAAUUGAUAUUGUUGAAAGUGAAAUGAGUUGUAAAUGUUAUAAAUUAGGUUAUUUGAACUUGGAAGGUUGGUGGCUAGAGUUGUGGUGGAGUUUUACUCAAACGAGGUGAUAUAGGUACUAGCGCUAGUGCUCCGACUACGGAUCAGCAGGGAGGAGCGUGACGCGGAUGGCCUGGACUUGUGGUGGUUUGUUGUUUUAUUUUUGUGUGGUGUUUGGUUAGUCUUUGGCUUAAUUGUAUAUUGGGAUAUAUACAAGUAUGUAA